rnacentral:misc_RNA from 1 species
CACAAUAAACAUAUGAAGGCUGCACCGCCAACAGGCGGCAAGGCUGGAGUAUUUUAUUACCCUUGUCUUUUGCGCACUUGUUGUUUCCUGGGCGGGUUCGCCCGCCUCCAGGACCACAUGAUAAACCUUUUUUAUGCAGUUGCAAUCAGCGGCAGUACAACAAAUGUAAAUCAUUUA